ACGAACGCGGCGUGCGUGACUCACACAUGCAAGUCGAACGAUGAUGCUCCAGCGCGCUGGGGUGGAUGAGUGGCGAACGGGUGAGUAAUACGUGAGUAACCUGCCCUUGACUCUGGGAUAAGCCUGGGAAACUGGGUCUAAUACUGGAUACUACACAUUCUCGCAUGGGGGUGUGUGGAAAGGGUUUUACUGGUUUUGGAUGGGCUCACGGCCUAUCAGCUUGUUGGUGGGGUAAUGGCCUACCAAGGCGACGACGGGUAGCCGGCCUGAGAGGGUGACCGGCCACACUGGGACUGAGACACGGCCCAGACUCCUACGGGAGGCAGCAGUGGGGAAUAUUGCACAAUGGGCGAAAGCCUGAUGCAGCGACGCCGCGUGAGGGAUGACGGCCUUCGGGUUGUAAACCUCUUUCAGCACGGAAGAAGCGAAAGUGACGGUACGUGCAGAAGAAGCGCCGGCUAACUACGUGCCAGCAGCCGCGGUAAUACGUAGGGCGCAAGCGUUGUCCGGAAUUAUUGGGCGUAAAGAGCUCGUAGGCGGUUUGUCGCGUCUGCUGUGAAAGCCCGGGGCUUAACCCCGUGGUGUGCAGUGGGUACGGGCAGACUAGAGUGCAGUAGGGGAGACUGGAAUUCCUGGUGUAGCGGUGAAAUGCGCAGAUAUCAGGAGGAACACCGAUGGCGAAGGCAGGUCUCUGGGCUGUACUG
rnacentral:rRNA from 1 species